rnacentral:misc_RNA from 1 species
UCCGGCUUAUCACCGGCAGUUUAGUUAAAGUGCCCAGCCAAACCUGAUGGCAACUAACGAUAAGGGUUGCGCUCGUUGCGGGACUUAACCCAACAUCUCACGACACGAGCUGACGACAGCCAUGCAGCACCUGUGUUUACGCCAGCCGAACUGAAGAAGAUUAUCUCUAAUCCUCAAACGUAACAUGUCAAAAGCUGGUAAGGUUCUUCGCGUAGCUUCGAAUUAAACCACAUACUCCACCGCUUGUGCGGGUCCCCGUCAAUUCCUUUGAGUUUUAAUCUUGCGACCGUACUCCCCAGGCGGAAUGCUUAAUGCGUUAGCGACGCCACUGAAGGUUACCCCCCAACAGCUAGCAUUCAUCGUUUACAGCGUGGACUAC